GACGAACGCUGGCGGCGUGCUUAACACAUGCAAGUCGAACGGACAGACAGAGAGCUUGCUCUCUUGAAGUUAGUGGCGAACGGGUGAGUAACGCGUAAUCAACCUGCCCUUCAGAGGGGGAUAACAACGGGAAACCGUUGCUAAUACCGCGUACGAUUCAUGAACGGCAUCGUUUAUGAAUGAAAGGUGGCCUCUAUGUAUAAGCUAUCGCUGAAGGAGGGGAUUGCGUCUGAUUAGCAAGUUGGAGGGGUAACGGCCCACCAAGGCAAUGAUCAGUAGCCGGUCUGAGAGGAUGAACGGCCACAUUGGGACUGAGACACGGCCCAAACUCCUACGGGAGGCAGCAGUGGGGAAUCUUCCGCAAUGGACGAAAGUCUGACGGAGCAACGCCGCGUGAGUGAUGAAGGUCUUCGGAUUGUAAAGCUCUGUUAAUCGGGACGAAAGAGUUCUGCGUGAAUAAUGUAGAAAAGUGACGGUACCGGAAUAGAAAGCCACGGCUAACUACGUGCCAGCCGCCGCAGUAA
rnacentral:rRNA from 1 species